GAUGAACGCUGGCGGCGUGCUUAACACAUGCAAGUCGAACGGGAAUUAUUUUAUUGAAACUUCGGUCGAUUUAAUUUAAUUCUAGUUGCGGGCGGGUGAGUAACGCGUGGGUAACCUGCCUUAUACAGGGGGAUAACAGUCAGACAUGGCUGCUAAUACCGCAUAAGCGCACAGAGCUGCAUGGCUCAGUGUGAAAAACUCCGGUGGUAUAAGAUGGACCCGCGUUGGAUUAGCUGGUGGGUGGGGUCACGGCCCACCAAGGCGACGAUGCGUAGCCGGGCGGAGAGGGGGAACGGCUACAUUGGGACUGAGACACGGCCCAGACUCGGACGGGAGGGAGCAGUGGGGAAUAUUGCACAAGGGGGGAAACCCUGAUGCAGCGACGCCGCGUGAAGGAAGAAGUAUCUCGGUAUGUAAACUUCUAUCAGCAGGGAAGAUAGUGACGGUACCUGACUAAGAAGCCCCGGCUAACUACGUG
rnacentral:rRNA from 1 species